rnacentral:rRNA from 1 species
CAGCAGCCACGGUAAUACGUAGGUGGCAAGCGUUGUCCGGAAUUAUUGGGCGCAAAGGGCUCGCAGGCGGUUUCUUAAGUCUGAUGUGAAAGCCCCCGGCUCAACCGGGGAGGGUCAUUGGAAACUGGGAAACUUGAGUGCAGAAGAGGAGAGUGGAAUUCCACGUGUAGCGGUGAAAUGCGUAGAGAUGUGGAGAAACACCAGUGGCGAAGGCGACUCUCUGGUCUGUAACUGACGCUGAGGAGCGAAAGCGUGGGGAGCGAACAGGAUUAGAUACCCGCGUAGUCCCUGUCUCUUAUAC